AUUGAACGCUGGCGGCAUGCCUAACACAUGCAAGUCGAACGGCAGCACGGCAGUAGCAAUACUGUGGGUGGCGAGUGGCGGACGGGUGAGGAAUACGUCGGAAUCUGCCCAGUCGUGGGGGAUAACUAGCCGAAAGGUUAGCUAAUACCGCAUACGACCGAGAGGUGAAAGCGGGGGACCGGCAAGGCCUCGCGCGAUUGGAUGAGCCGACGUCGGAUUAGCUAGUUGGAGGGGUAAAGGCCCACCAAGGCGACGAUCCGUAGCUGGUCUGAGAGGAUGAUCAGCCACACUGGAACUGAGACACGGUCCAGACUCCUACGGGAGGCAGCAGUGGGGGAAUAUUGGACAAUGGGCGCAAGCCUGAUCCAGCAAUGCCGCGUGUGUGAAGAAGGCCUUCGGUUGGCAAAGCACUUUUAUCAGGACGAAAAGACGUUGGAUUAAUACUCUGACGUGCUGACGGUACCUGAGGAA
rnacentral:rRNA from 1 species